rnacentral:rRNA from 1 species
UACGAAGGGGGCUAGCGUUGCUCGGAAUCACUGGGCGUAAAGCGCACGUAGGCGGCUUCUUAAGCCAGGGGUGAAAUCCUGGAGCUCAACUCCAGAACUGCCUUUGAUACUGAGGAGCUUGAGUCCGGGAGAGGUGAGUGGAACUGCGAGUGUAGAGGUGAAAUUCGUAGAUAUUCGCAAGAACACCAGUGGCGAAGGCGGCUCACUGGCCCGGUACUGACGCUGAGGUGCGAAAGCGUGGGGAGCA